rnacentral:snRNA from 1 species
CCCUGUGCUCAGAUAAAUACUAAAAUUGGAACGAUACAGAAAAGAUUAGCAUGGCCCUUGAACUUUACUUAUUUUUAAAUCUUGCUUUUUCUU